rnacentral:rRNA from 1 species
GACGAACGCUGGCGGCGUGCUUAACACAUGCAAGUCGAACGGAAAGGCCCUGCUUUUGUGGGGUGCUCGAGUGGCGAACGGGUGAGUAACACGUGAGUAACCUGCCCUUGACUUUGGGAUAACUUCAGGAAACUGGGGCUAAUACCGGAUAGGAGCUCCUGCUGCAUGGUGGGGGUUGGAAAGUUUCGGCGGUUGGGGAUGGACUCGCGGCUUAUCAGCUUGUUGGUGGGGUAGUGGCUUACCAAGGCUUUGACGGGUAGCCGGCCUGAGAGGGUGACCGGGCACAAUGGGACUGGGAUACGGCCCAGACUCCUACGGGAGGCAGCAGGGGGGAAUAUUGCCCAAUGGGCGGGAGCCUGAUGCAGCAACCCCGCGUGCGGGAAGACGGCCUUCGGGUUGUAAACCGCUUUCGGCUGUGACCAAGCGUGAGUGACGGUAAUGGGUAAAGAAGCACCGGCUAACUACGUG